rnacentral:lncRNA from 1 species
CUGGGACUUGAGAUUCCAGGUACCAACUUGCUCUUCAGAUGACACGUGUCCUCACGCUAGUCGUAGCAUUACAAACAAACAAUGUAUAGGCAAAAUUAACAUCACACCAAACAUAAGAAUAUACUACAUAAUAAUGAUCUACGCAUUUGUACGAGACUAACGCAACUUGAACGGAUCAAAUCAGAGUUAAAACGAAGAAGUUAUGAAUUUCUAAUGAUUUUAUGUGUUUUGUACAAGAUUAAAUUAGGAAUUAGAUUUUAAAGUGGUUUUCAUGUCAAAUAAGAGGUACUAUGUGAUAAAAAAUAAUAUUAUAUAAUUAUAGAAAUUGGAAUGGGUCAAUUUGAAGUUCAUAUGAAUUUUAUAUGAAUUAAACAAACUCUAGCCAUUAAAAAAAUAGAUUUCUAAUUCCUUUUCCUGGAUUUCCUAUUCACUGGACUGGGCGCAUGAGUACAUAAAAAUCCAGGGGCUAAACCAUAAAUAUUUCCCAGACUCAGAGUACUACACAAUGGAUCGCGGGUUGAUUAUCUACUUCUUCAAGGGCUUAUUUGUAAACUUGGCUCAGCGAAGAGGUACGGUGUGAUCUGGGCCAUCGGAUCAUCUUUCAAGCGCCCAGAUUAGAUCGGAUUACUUAUGAACCCGCACACAUCCUAAGCCACUGGAUCUAAUAUCAAGGGUUAUGAUUUAAAGAAUCGCAAUCCAAUCGAAUCCACACGACCAACAUCCAACGGUCCUACUUAACCUGAGCGAAGAGAUACUCGAUCGUCUGAUCGUAGCCGUCAAUCAAGAGAUCAACGCACAAGGUUGUUUCACCUCCGCCCAAGCACCCCAGCGCAGACCGAGCGGCGGUGCAGUAGCAACCGCGGCGGCGGCCAUGGCCAGCGAAUAGCCAAAUCCCGCCAGCGCGCACGAAACUCAACUCCGACUGGUUCCAAACCUAGAACACACGGUAAGGAAAGGGUAGGAAGGGUUCUCACCGCGUGACACACAACAGGAUGACCGUGCGACGAAGCAGGGUGGAAUCGCGGCAUGAGCUCGCAUCGAUGCGCAAUCCCGGGUCACCAGGUCGUCAAUCCCACAAGGCAAAGCCGCAAUCCAUCCCCGGAGCUGCGCAGUGAAGCUUCGACGACAGAGCCCAAGCGCAGCAGCACCCGACUUGUCUUCUCCCUUGCCUGUCUUCAACUCGUGUCGGCGACAUGGAGAGGGAGCAGAGAUGGGGCGCGCCGAGCGGAGGCUACUGGGGAGGGAGCUUG